rnacentral:rRNA from 1 species
CACGUAGUUAGCCGUGGCUUUCUGGUUAGGUACCGUCAAGACUUGUUCAGUUACUAACAAAUUUGUUCUUCCCUAACAACAGAGUUUUACGAUCCUAAGACCUUCAUCACUCACGCGGCGUUGCUCCGUCAGGCUUUCGCCCAUUGCGGAAGAUUCCCUACUGCUGCCUCCCGUAGGAGUCUGGACCGCGUCUCAGUUCCAGUGUGGCCGAUCACCCUCUCAGGUCGGCUACGUAUCGUUGCCUUGGUAAGCCGUUACCUUACCAACUAGCUAAUACGGCGCGGGUCCAUCUAUAAGUGACAGCCGAAACCGUCUUUCAACAUUGAACCAUGCGGUUCAAUAUAUUAUCCGGUAUUAGCCCCGGUUUCCCGGAGUUAUCCCAGUCUUAUAGGUAGGUUACCCACGUGUUACUCACCCGUCCGCCGCUAACAUCAGAGAAGCAAGCUUCUCAUCUGUUCGCUCGACUUGCAUGUAUUAGGCACGCCGCCAGCGUUCAUCCUGAGCCAGGAUCAAACUCU